AGUUUCUUGGGAGUCAAUUUCUGCUCUUUCUGAAGCAGUUUCUGGGAUCUGGGAGAGUAGCUGCUUCCUCUCUUCUCUGCUUUCCUCUGACAGGGUUAGCAGAACGUUUAUUCUCCAGAUGCAGUUAAAGGCUUCAAGGACCCCAACGGGCAACUCCUGGGCACUUUCAGCAUCCUGCCAGGGGAGUCGUGCUCAUCAUGAUGGAAGGGGCUUCUCUUCUGUGCUGUGGCCCACUUCAUCAAGUGAAAAAGAGGCACCAAAACAGGACCAUGAAAGAUUUGGGGGACAAGUGGUGUUUCCUUUGACCAACCUGGUGUAAGGUCAAGAUGCGUAAAGAUAAAGCAGGAUCCGGCAAGGAAAGAGCGGACUUUGAAAGAAGAAGGACCAGGCUGGCCAUAUACUACUUCCCAGCCCUGAGGAAAAUCCCAUUAUCCACUUCAAAAUGAAAUUUGGCACCAUUGAAUAGCACUAGUUCAGAAAUAAGAAUGGUCUAUAUAUUAACUUUGGUAUUUCAGGAGACAAUGAUGACAGGCUGGCAUUUCAGGAGGACCUUGCCCCUUCUGCAGCCAACCACAGAACUGUCCGGUACCCCACCUUCUGCAGCCAGAACCAGAACAUUCCCACUCAGCUCCUUCUGCAGCCAGCCCCGGGACCAUCCCGCACCCCACUUCUGCAGCCAGCCCUGGGACAGUCCCACACCCCCUUUCUGCAGCCAGCCCUGGGACAGUCCUACACCCCUUUUCUGGAGCCAGCCCCGGGUCGGUCCCACACCCCCUUCUGCAUCUGGCCCCGGGACGGACCCACACCCCCUUCUUCAGCCAGCCCCGGGACAGUCCCGCACCCCCCUUCUGCAGCCGGCCCUGGGACAGUCCCGCACCCCCCUUCUGCAGCUGGCCCCGGGACAGUCCCGCACCCCCCUUCUGCAGCCGGCCCCGGGACAGCCCCGCACCCCCCUUCUGCAGCCGGAACCGGGGCUGUCCCGUACCCCACUUCUGCAGCCGGAACCGGGGCUGUCCCGCACCCCACUUCUGCAGCCGGAACCGGGGCUGUCCCGCACCCCCCCCUUCUGCAGCCGGAACCGGGGCUGUCCCGCACCCCCCUUCUGCAGCCGGAACCGGGGCUGUUCUGCACCCCCCUUCUGCAGCCGGCCCCAGGAUAGUGCCGCACCCCCUCAUGCAGCUGGCCGCAGGACAAUGCCGCACCCCCACUUCUGCACACACACCCCGGCUCUGGGCCAGCCCUGCCUCCUUCCUGCAACUGGCCACAGUUUAGUCCUGCCCCCCGCCCUUGAUUUCCCUCAGGGUAGGGAUUAAAUGGCUUGCCGAGAAACGAGAACUCCUGUAGUAACUACAGCCAGUGAAUGCAAGGGAAAUGCAGAAUAUCAGGAGGAUGGGGCAGCUCUAGAUGGAGCAUCCCAGGAGUGGAAAAUGCUGUCGAGAUUCUGUUGAAAAUGCUGUUUUACCCAAGGACUUGCAUCACGCCUGAAGCAAGGUUAAAGUCAAUAUCAGUUACUGGUUUUGUAUUUUUGUUUUUGAAUUGCUCAGCUCCUUUCCCCAUUUGGGUGCAAAUUCAUGGUGAACCCGAUUUGGGGAUGGAUCCUAAGAAGUCUUGGAUGUGGGUGUGUCUAGGGAACAAGGGGGCUAUGCAGAAGGGAUUGGCUGCAUCCCAGCUCUAAUUCUGUGGAGGGCUGGAGAAGACAAGAGCUGGACCAAGCCUGGAUGGAUGGGGAGCUUGAGAGGGGAGAGUGCCAGUGGAGGUGGGGCAGACCUACUGGACUCCAUGGGACACUGGUGUGCUGCCCUCCACUGCUUCCAUUUAUAUAUAAGGUGGGGGGUCUUAAGUUGAUGGUAAGCCUUUCAUUUCAUAUAUAUUUAAAAUGUUUCUAUCUUGUAUAUUCAAACUGUGCUUUGUUAGGACACUCUGGGGUGGUGUGCAGCCCAUCGGACCCCUUGCAGGGUGUGGCGCAUUCUUGUAAUUCAUUUCAGUAGAUCCCAGUUAUUAAUUCCAAAGUGGGACUUCCUCCAGUUUCUAGGAAGAUAAAGCACCCCAUUCAGUGCCAGUGCAAGCACCUUUCCACUGCUGGGUGCUUUCCAGAUUACAGUUACAACCACCGUAAAAUGCUUCAGCUUGGGAUCAAAUUGACAACGUAAUGAAAGGGUGUUGCUCAAGUCCACCAGCAGGGCAGCAGUCUUUUCUAGUUUGCCCCAAACUCCCUAAAAUGGAAAAAUACUGCAAUCUUUUUACAAUGUUGCAGGACUGUAAUAAAGCAAUAAAAUCUGAAAGAAGGCAUUGGAAAUGUGAAUGACAUCUUGCUGAUAGCACAGAGACUGUGAUGUCAAUGCACAGGCAAUACAGAAGCACACUUCGCAGAUUCGUAGCGGCACAGUGAUAAGGGUUAAUCUGGAAAGCACCCAGGCUGACCUGCGCAACUAACUCCUGGCAGCUGAACAAGCUUGAGCCUGAGUGUUUUCUUAUAGGAAGCACAUGGCUAAAUCUCUAAACAGAAAUACUACUGGCCGGGCAAAAGAA